rnacentral:lncRNA from 1 species
UUCUACCUAACCUAAUCAAAGAAAUUAGGCUAAAUAUGGAGAGAAAUCAAUAACUCUUACAAGAGAAGAAUAGUCUCUCUCUUUACGGUUGAAUUCCAUUUUUGAUGAUAGCACAUUCCUUCCAAUUUUUUGGCCUGUUGUUGUCAGGUUUGUCUCAUUCUUUUCGUUUAAAGGGUCUUUUAAUUUAUCUUUUUCGCUUUUCUUGAGUUGUAGAAGAUGUAUUUAGUUUAGCGUUCCAAAAUCCUUUAAUGCUAUUAGUUUUCUGAUUUUAAUUGCUCAUGUUUAUUUAGUUGAUGAAUUGUUAUGUGUGUUGAUAUGGAAUUGGAGAUAUGCACAUUGCCUAAGAUUCAAUCUGGAACAAUUUCUUAACUAAGAAAACUUCAUAUCUUCUAUGUGGUUUAAUCAUGUUUAAAAUACUAUACCAUUAAUUGUUAUUGAUUUGUAAAUUAGUAAAUUCUUAAUCCUUGUUUGUGUUUGUCCCCUUGCUAAAUAGGGAAAUCUUUUAAUACAUUUGUAUUUUUUCCAGUUUAUGUUAUAGUCCAAAAAUUGUUUAUCUGCACCUAUUUGGUUGUCAGAGUUGCCUCUGAUGUUGUCUGGUUUGUUUUUACUGAAAAAUUUAUGUCAUUUUAAUGACUUUUAUUAUUAUAUUCAUUGUUCGAAUGAUGUUUUCCCUCCCCACCGAGUUAUGAAUUUUAUAUGAGUAAAUAGUCAAUUUCCCCAUUGAAAUUGUAAGUUUCAUCAAUUACCCCCCUGAAAUUAACAAAACUUCAAUUACCCCCUUGAAAUUUCACAACGUUAGUCAAUUUACCCCCUUCGUCAAAUUUUUCUGUUAGUGAACAUGACGUUUUGCAAAUACCCCCUGACGUUUUGCACUUAUGUGCAAAAUGCCCCCAAACUUAAAAAUUUAUAUUAUUUUUUUCUUAAAAACAAACAAUUAAUAGUUAAAUAUUAAAGCUAACUAUUAAUUUUGGAGUUUGGAAAAACUACAUACAUAUAUACAUCAAAAUAGGGAAAAAUGUGUAUUUUUAAAGUGACAAUAAUGGUUAUUUCUAAUAGACAAAUUAUUAUUUUUAGAGGUUUAUAAACAAAUUAAUAAUCAGAUUUAAAUUUAUAUUUUCUCCUUCACCAUCUUAGUCUUUUAACUCCUCCAACUCCUUCAACAAUUUGCUCAAACCAUUUAAACUACACAACCCCCAAUAUUAAUCCACAAAUCAUCCCAUUAUUGUCACUUUAAAAAAUACAUAUUUUUCCCCAUUUUGGAGCCUAUUUUGAUGUAUAUAUGCAUGUAGUUUUCCCAAAUUCCAAAAUUAAUAGUUAGUUUUAAUAUUUAACUAUUAAUUGUUUGUUUUUAAGAAAAAAAUAAUAUAAAUUUUUAAGUUUGGGGGGCAUUUUGCACAUAAGUGCAAAACUUCAGGGGGUUAUUUGCAAAACGUCAUGUUCACUAACAGAAAAAUUUGACGGAGGGGGUAAAUUGACUAACGUUGUGAAAUUUCAGGGGGGUAAUUGAAGUUUUGUUAAUUUCAGGGGGUAAUUGAUGAAACUUACAAUUUCAGGGGGGAAAUUGACUAUUUACUCAAUUUUAUAUAUAUCACACAAUGCUCAUCUCAUAGCCAUUAGGUGCAGAAUAUGUUGCUAUUUUGAUUGGUAUCUUGCUUUGAUUGUGUUUCUUUGGUUCCAUGAUUUGAGAAUGAGUAGGCAUGCUGAUUUUGUUGAAGACCAGAUAAUAACAAAAUUGAAUGAUUUAUGUUCUUCAAAUGAGGAAGUAGUUUUAAUUGUUAUUGCUUGCUACUUUGGAGUUGAAGAGGGAAUUGAUAUGUGGCUUUCUGAGAAGGAAACUAUUUUCCUUCUUAGUGAUUGUGUAUCAAUGAUGGUUGCACAUGAUACUUGUGAUGUGUUGAUGUCAUUGGUAGGUUUUAUGCAAUGCACAUUGCAGGUUGCUGUUUUAUUCAAGUGUUUUUUUGUGUUUUAAUGUUUUGAUUAUUUUGGUUAUGUUAUGAUUUUGUUUUUUACUAGGAUGGAGGAUCUUCUUUGUAUCCUAAUGAGAUGGAAGAUUUAUUUGGUGAGGUAUUUUGUGUGCUUGAUAAUUAGCUUUAUCUAAAGAUUGUUGGUUGACUUAAGCAGUUGUAUUUUCAUUUUAGGAACUGCCUCAACAUGUUGAGGUUGCUCAAGUUGUUGAAUCUCCUCAUGAUACAUUUGAUUUGUCUAUCUCCAAUGGUAUAUAAGUCAAGAAGGGGGGAGACUCCAGUGUUGUUGGAGGAGUUGUUGGUGGGGAUGUAAAACAAAGCCGUAAGAGGAGAUAUAAGGAAGCUUUUGUAGUGGAUGAUGGCAUGGA